UACGAAGGGGGCUAGCGUUGCUCGGAAUCAUUGGGCGUAAAGAGCGUGUAGGCGGCUUGUUAAGUCUUGCGUGAAAUCUCGGGGCUCAACCCCGAGCGGUCGUGAGAAACUGGCAGGCUAGAGUGCGGGAGAGGAGAGUGGAAUUCCUGGUGUAGCGGUGAAAUGCGCAGAUAUCAGGAAGAACACCCGUGGCGAAGGCGGCUCUCUGGAACGCAACUGACGCUGAGACGCGAAAGCGUGGGGAGCAAACAGG
rnacentral:rRNA from 1 species